UGGUUAUUUAUGGUUCGAGUACAUUUACAAGCUCGACAAGGUUUCAUAUAACAAGUUCCAUCCCUACACCUCAUGGAUCCCUAUAACGUGCGUGUUAUACAUGAGGUUAUAUAAGUUUGCGGAACUUCACCCAGCAGUUCCGAAAUUUCUCCAUAUAAAUUGUCUAACCCUUAAAAAGGCUCAAACAUCAGGAUCAUUUAUUCUUCUAAUUUUUUUAACGUUAUACUUUUGACAAUUUAUAUGUAGAUGGCUUGGAAAGGUUACUCUUGAAACCUACAUUUCUCAGUUCCACAUCUGGUUGAGGUACUUCCUACUAUAUAAAGUUUCUUCGGAGUAUACCACAUGAUCCAGUGAUGACAAAUUCGAGUUCGACUACAAAAUUUUAG